AUGGCAAAGGAAGCUGAGAAAGAUAAACAAAUUGCCGAGGAGGAGGAGGAGGAGGAGUAUGUCUUGCUAGAGUUAGAUGAUGUUCAUUAUUCCUGCAUACAACCAAAUGCCCCUUAUAUACUCUCUGGUUUGGAUACAUUGACUCCUACCUUGGUAGUAGGUGAUGGCCUGAAGAUGAUUGGAGAAUACGAAGAAACGGUUGGCACAUGCUAUUUAUUUUCAGAAAGUGAUGCUCCACCAAAGCCCGGUCAUGAAGAGCUGGCACCCCCCAAAGAAAACAAGGACAAGCAAGGCAAAAACAUCAAAGAAGCACCGUCCAAGGAGGUGAAACAUCUCACGAGCGUUCACAAGAUCCUCAAAUUCCGGUCAACCAGUGAGGGCCGUCAGGAGCACAGAGCAUACCGUUACAGGGACAAGGAGUUUUGA
rnacentral:rRNA from 1 species